rnacentral:lncRNA from 1 species
GCAAGGCCAAGACCACCCUAGGUCUUCAUCUGGAUUGACGGAUGUCUACCCUGUACCAGGCCCCAAGGGAAGAAUGGUGAAAGGGUGCAGUCCCCAAGACAGGGGCUGGACAGCUCAGCAAGUGACAUGGAUGGCCCCAGGAUGGGAGGAGAGCAGCCUCAUCUUGAGAAGCAACUCCCUCCUCCAAGCAUGGGACCUGGGCCAGCAAUGCCCUGCCCCAGCUGGAGCUGGUUACAGACCCUGAGGCCGGUCCAGCCAUCUUCAGAACAGUUUCAGUGGCCCAGUGAGGACCUGGUGUUUGUGCUGCGCUGACGAACCAGCUGCUUGCUGCUGACAAAGACUCCUCCCUGACCAAAGCGCAGCUCACGCCUCUGACCCUCCAACUAGGCUUGACUAGGCCCCAUCAUGUCUUCAGCCUAAGCCAGUUGUAGAAAGAAUUCCCAGCCUUUGUAUCUGACCAUAUUCCUCAUCUCCCACCUUUGAGGUUGAACAAAGCCUCUCACCCACCCCCAGCAAGGAUCCUGUUACGAGGGUUUCUCCAGAAUCCCUGACCUUGAUGUCUCCUCUUAGCUAUUUUCCAGCCACCCAUCACCACACUGCUCCUCUGCUACCAAUCCCCUGUGGUCUCUGCUGCAUUUGGAGUUAAACUCAUUCUCUCUCGCUUAU